rnacentral:rRNA from 1 species
GCGGUCCAUGUCCUAUCAGCUUGUUGGUGAGGUAAUGGCUCACCAAGGCGACGACGGGUACCGGGACUGAGAGGUUGACCCGGGGCAUCGGGACUGAGACACUGCCCGGACUCCUACGGGAGGCUGCAGUAACGAAUAUUGGUCAAUGGGCGAAAGCCUGAACCAGCGACGCCGCGUGUGGGAGGAAGCCCUUCGGGGUGUAAACCACUGUCAGGGAUUACCAAGCAAUGGAGGCUAAUACCCUCCUGCGUUGAGGCGUCCCAGAGGAAGUCACGGCUAACUUCGUGCCAGCAGCCGCGGUAAUACGAAGGUGGCGAGCGUUGUUCGGAAUCACUGGGCUUAAAGAGCACGUAGGCGGACUGACAAGCGUCUUGUGAAAUCCCCCGGCUCAACCGGGGAAUUGCUGGGCGAACUGGUAGUCUUGAGGCAAGUAGGGGCAGAUGGAACUCUUGGUGGAGCGGUGGAAUGCGUAGAUAUCAAGAGGAACGCCAGAGGCGAAGGCGAUCUGCUGGGCUUGACCUGACGCUGAAGGUGCGAAAGCCAGGGGAGCAAGCGGGAUUAGAUACCCCGGUAGUCCUGGCCAUAAACGAUGUCCACUAGAUCGGUGAACUUCUGACAGUUGUGCCGGUCGAAACAAAAGCGUUAAGUGGACCGCCUGGGGAGUACGGUCGCAAGGCUAAAACUCAAAGGAAUUGACGGGGGCUCACACAAGCGGUGGAGCAUGUUGCUUAAUUCGAUGCAACGCGAAGAACCUUAUCCUGGGCUUGACAUGCUUGGAUGCCCAUCUGGAAACAGAGUAGGCUGCCCUUCGGGGUGAAACUUGCACAGGUGCUGCAUGGCUGUCGUCAGCUCGUGUCGUGAGAUGUUGGGUUAAGUCCCGUAACGAGCGAAACCCUUGUCGUUAGUUGCCAGCGCGUAAUGGCGGGGACUCUAGCGAGACUGCCGGUGUUAAACCGGAGGAAGGUGGGGAUGACGUCAGGUCCUCAUGGCCUUUAUGCCCAGGGCUGCAAACGUGCUACAAUGGCGAGGACAAACCGACGCAAAGCCGCGAGGUCGAGCAAAUCGGAGAAACCUUGCCCCAGUUCGGAUUGGAGUCUGCAACUCGACUCCAUGAAGUCGGAAUCGCUAGUAAUCGCGUAUCCGCGUGACGCGGU